rnacentral:rRNA from 1 species
UACGUAGGGGGCGAGCGUUGUCCGGAAUCAUUGGGCGUAAAGAGCUCGUAGGCGGCUUGUCGCGUCGGAUGUGAAAGCCCGGGGCUUAACUCCGGGUCUGCAUUCGAUACGGGCAGGCUAGAGUUCGGUAGGGGAGAUCGGAAUUCCUGGUGUAGCGGUGGAAAUGCGGCAGAUAUCAGGAGGAACACCGGUGGCGAAGGCGGGUCUCUGGGGCAGUAACUGACGCUGGAGGAGCGAAAGCGUGGGGAGCGAACAGGA